AACUCAUUUUAAAUGCAAAUUUUCUUUGCUAUAGUUGGCAUUGCAAGCUGGCAAAACAGAAAGGCAACAAGUCAAGUCGACAGUAAUUUUCAACACUUACAAGAGGGUAGAAGCCUCAGCCAUAGCCAAUGCCUACCAGAAGGUGCAGCGAGUUCCUGAAAACCUAUUCUCUUGCAGAAACAAAAGAAAAAACUAGCAAACUGGUUAAAGUGACAAGAUUUUAAGACAUUAAACAGUAAAUUAAGUUAAUGUCAACUUGAUUACGAAACUUUAAGCAAUAUCCAUUCAUUUUAUUUAUUUAAAUAUUAAUAAGACCCAAGAAACAAAAGCAUCGCUUCAGGCAAGUUGCAACUAAAGUGAAAUGGAUUAAGGGAACAUAUGCAAAGAACUGCUUAUUUCUUUUUUUGACUUUUGUGCAAAAUGGUGCCAUAAACAUGAACACAAACAACUAAC